rnacentral:tRNA from 1 species
GCGCCCGUAGCUCAGCUGGAUAGAGCGUUCGGCUUCGAACCGAAAGGUCGGGAGUUCAAGUCUCUCCGGGCGUACCA